rnacentral:tRNA from 1 species
GCCUCAAUAGCGCAGCCGGCAGCGCAACUGAUUCGUAAUCAGUAGGUCGGCGGUUCGAAUCCGCCUUGAGGCU